GACGAACCGUGCGAACGUUUAUUCGGAUUCACUGGGCUUAAAGGGCGCGUAGGCGGGCUCGCCAGUCCGGGGUGAAAUCCUUUCGGCUUAACCGGAAAAGUGCCUCGGAUACUGCGGGCCUUGAGGGAGGUAGGGGCAUGUGGAACUUCCGGUGGAGCGGUCGAAUGCGUUGAUAUCGGAAGGAACACCGUGUGCGAAAGCGGCUCACUGGCCAUAACUGACGCUGAGGCACGAAGCU
rnacentral:rRNA from 1 species